UUUUUUUUUUUUUUUUUUUCCCAAAAUCUGCCCCCGCCGCAAUCAACGACCUCUUCUCUGUAAUUUUCUCUGCAGGUGUUGAACGGCGUGCAUUCAGGUGUUGAACGAUGGUGCACGGGCCUACAAUUGCUGACUCUGACCGCCGCCUCCGCUGCCGCCGCUUCGUUCGACCGCCGCCUCCGCUGCCGCCGCUUCGUUCGACCGCCGCCUCCGCUGCCGCCGCUUCGUUCGACCGCCGCCUCCGCUGCCGCCGCUUCGUUCGACCGCCGCCCUCCGCUGCCGCCCUCAAACAGGUCUUACGCCGCCGCCGCCUCCGCCGCUUCGUUCGAGGCCACCGCCCCAGCUGUCAGUAUCACUUCCCACCGCAUUUUUCGCCCAAUUGCAGACCACUGCCCCUUCUCGAUCACAUCCGACUUGGAUUACUCAGAUUUUGUCGGUGCCCACCCCUUCUCUCCAACCCAAUCUCACCUUUUCUCCAACCCAAUCUCACUCAUGGUACUCAUCCUAUUUUCUUUCUAAUCCUCUUGUUCUUCUCCAGUUCUCCCAAUUUUUAUGUAUUGGUAUUGAUUCGAUGGAUUUUAUUUUACAAGCAAGCGUUGCUCAACCAACCACAACUCUCGGUUGGAACGAUUCCAUUGUUCUUUGUAUUAAUUUAAUUUCUUCCCAGACUCGUCCGCCAUUACCACUGUCAUUUGUUUAUAUUUCAGAGUUUUUCAUGUUUUUUGUAAUAAUUUUUCGUACUUUGUAC
rnacentral:lncRNA from 1 species